AAUUUUUAUAAACCUGACAUCAUUUAAUGUUUUCUUUUCCUUUAUUUUUGCAUUCACUUUUUCAGCUGGACAUGCCUAAUGAUCAGAUACUUGCCAAUCUGGACAGUAUUAUUAAAGACAUUUGCAAACACAAAUCUUCAAAGCAUGGUCCUUUUGUAACAAGUAUGAGCAUUCGAAGUUCAACCAGUGAAGCCUUAGAUGUGAAAGUGGAACAGUUUCUUCCCAAAGAAGCUCUGGGGCAGAAGUUGGAAGAAGCUGAAAAGAUCAGCGAAGAAGAAAAACAAGAACCAGAUGAUUAGAAGGUUGCCUAAAUGUCAUUUUCCUUGUAAAUUUUUUUUAUAAAGGGCAGUUCUUGUAGCUUCAUCCAGAGUUUCCCCACAAGUUCUGGUCCUGAAGGGGAAGUUUGCAAAAAUCUCGGGAGACAACUGAAUUGUCCUCAAACCUGAAGCUCCUUAGUGCUGUUAGAUCAACAGUCCCCAAAAUUUGGGGCCUAGAAAUGUCUAGGAAUCACUGAUAUUACAGGCUCAGCACAUGUGGAGAGCCUGCCUGCUCUGACACCAAUGUUUCAGAGUGCAAAGCCUUCUCCGUUUGUAAAAAAAGAUGUAAUUGCACAACAUUUUAUUAAAAAUGAAAAGCUUUGUGUACAGCGUUUAUUGAAGAAGAAAAACAGGAACCAGAUGAUUAGAAGGUUGCAGAAAUGUCAUUUUCCUUGUAAAUUUUUUUUUAUAAAGGGCAGUUCUUGUAGCUUCAUCCAGAGUUUCCCCACAAGUUCUGGUCCUGAAGGGGAAGUUUGCAACAAUCUCGGGAGACAACUGAAUUGUCCUCAAACCUGAAGCUCCUUAGUGCUGUUAGAUCAACAGUCCCCAAAAUUUGGGGCCUAGAAAUAUCUAGGAAUCACUGAUAUUACAGGCUCAGCACAUGUGGAGAGCCUGCCUGCUCUGACACCAAUGUUUCAGUGCAAAUCCUUCUCCGUUUGUAAAAAAAGAUGUAAUUGCUCAACAUUUUAUUAAAAAUGAAAAGCUUUGUGUACAGUGUUUAUUGAAGAAGAAAAACAGGAACCAGAUGAUUAGAAGGUUGCAGAAAUGUCAUUUUCCUUGUAAAUUUUUUUUAUAAAGGGCAGUUCUUGUAGCUUCAUCCAGAGUUUCCCCACAAGUUCUGGUCCUGAAGGGGAAGUUUGCAACAAUCUCGGGAGACAAUUGAAUUGUCCUCAAACCUGAAGCCUCUUAGUGCUGUUAGAUCAACAGUCCCCAAAAUUUGGGGCCUAGAAAUAUCUAGGAAUCACUGAUAUUACAGGCUCAGCACAUGUGGAGAGCCUGCCUGCUCUGACACCAAUGUUUCAAUGCAAAUCCUUCUCCGUUUGUAAAAAAAGAUGUAAUUGCUCAACAUUUUAUUAAAAAUGAAAAGCUUUGUGUACAGUUUUUAUUGAUCAUGGAAGCCUUCGUGUCCCUUUCUGUUUUAGUUGUGUGUUUUUUUCCAUCCACAGAUUCCCAGGUGUGGCUAAUGGAAAAGAAUCAGGGCCCUUUCCUCCCCUGUAAGCCACACAACCCACGUUGCUCUCUUCUCCGUUCCUCCUUACAUGCCCUAGAACAGAAUGGGCCUGUCUUCCUCUGAACUCCCUCUCCCUUCUAUCUCUUCCCUGCUCUGCCCAGCCGGACUUCGCCCUUCCUCAGUUUCCUCCACAGCCAAUGGAGCCAGACUCCCACCCCGUCAGCUGUUCGUCUUCCUCAGAUUCAGACUCCAACAGAGGCAUGACACCUGCAUUAGAUGCUUUCAAAGCGUGUUCAGAUAGUUCUCAACUUACAACCAUUCGUUUAAUGACCGUUCAAAGUUACAACAGUCCUGCAAAAAAAGUGA
rnacentral:lncRNA from 1 species